rnacentral:rRNA from 1 species
UGAGGGUUUGAUCCUGGCCCAGGACUAACGCUAGCGGCGUGCAUUAGGUAUGCAAGUGGAACGAGUCCCGUAAGGGACGAGUCGCGAACGGCUGAGUAACACGUAAGAACUUACCCCUUGAUGUGGAAUACCUCGUCGAAAGACGGGCUAAUACCGCAUAAGACCUCCGGGUGAAAGCACUUAACUGUGCGUCGAGGGAAAGGCUUGCGGCCUAUCAGCUUGUUGGUGAGGUAAAAGCUCACCAAGGCUACGACGGGUAGGGGACGUGAGAGCGUGCACCCCCAGAAUGGCACUGAGAUACGGGCCAUACACCUACGGGUGGCGCAACCGGGAAUCGUGCGCAAUGGACGAAAGUCUGACGCCGCGACGCCGCGUGAGGGAUGAAGGUUUUUGGAUUGUAAACCUCUUUUGCCAAGGUAGAGAUGCCUUGGAGAAUAAGCAUCGGCUAACUUCGUGCCAGCAGCAGCGGUAAUACGUAGGAUGCAAGCGUUGUCCGGAUUUAUUGGGCGUAAAGCGUCUGUAGGUUUUUUGGAAAGUCACUCUUCAAAGCCCGGGGCUCAACCUCGGAAAGGGGAGUGAUACUGUCAGAAUUGGAAUGCUUCGGGGCUACUGGAACUUAACAUGUAGGAGUGAAAUCCGUUGAUAUGUUAAGGAACACCGAGGGCGAAGGCAGGUAGCUAGGAGUUAUUUGACACUGAGAGACGAAAGCUAGGGGAGCGAAAGGGAUUAGAGACCCCUGUAGUCCUAGCAGUAAACUAUGCUCGCUAGGGAUAGGUCCCGCAAAGUACACAUAAAUCGCUUAAGAAUGCGAAAUGUGUUUUUUGCGGGAUCUGUCUCGUAAGCUAACGCGUUAAGCGAGCCGCCUGGGGAGUACGAACGCAAGUUUAAAACUCAAAGGAAUUGACGGGGACCCGCACAACCAGUGGAGCAUGUGGUUUAAUUCGAG